rnacentral:rRNA from 1 species
UACGGAGGAGGCAAGCGUUAUCCGGAAUUAUUGGGCGUAAAGCGUCCGCAGGCGGCACCUCAAGUCUGCUGUCAAAGACCGGGGCUUAACCCCAGAAAGGCAGUGGAAACUGAAGUGCUAGAGUGCAGUAGGGGGAGAGGGAAUUCCCGGUGUAGCGGUGAAAUGCGCAGAUAUCAGGAAGAACACCCGUGGCGAAGGCGGCUCUCUGGUACGUGACUGACGCUGAGACGCGAAAGCGUGGGGAGCGAACAGG